AGCUUGCUCUCGGGUGACGAGUGGCGGACGGGUGAGUAAUGUCUGGGAAACUGCCUGAUGGAGGGGGAUAACUACUGGAAACGGUAGCUAAUACCGCAUAACGUCGCAAGACCAAAGAGGGGGACCUUCGGGCCUCUUGCCAUCAGAUGUGCCCAGAUGGGAUUAGCUAGUAGGUGGGGUAACGGCUCACCUAGGCGACGAUCCCUAGCUGGUCUGAGAGGAUGACCAGCCACACUGGAACUGAGACACGGUCCAGACUCCUACGGGAGGCAGCAGUGGGGAAUAUUGCACAAUGGGCGCAAGCCUGAUGCAGCCAUGCCGCGUGUAUGAAGAAGGCCUUCGGGUUGUAAAGUACUUUCAGCGGGGAGGAAGGUGUUGUGGUUAAUAACCACAGCAAUUGACGUUACCCGCAAAAGAAGCACCGGCUAACUCCGUGCCAGCAGCCGCGGUAAUACGGAGGGUGCAAGCGUUAAUCGGAAUUACUGGGCGUAAAGCGCACGCAGGCGGUCUGUCAAGUCGGAUGUGAAAUCCCCGGGCUCAACCUGGGAACUGCAUUCGAAACUGGCAGGCUAGAGUCUUGUAGAGGGGGGUAGAAUUCCAGGUGUAGCGGUGAAAUGCGUAGAGAUCUGGAGGAAUACCGGUGGCGAAGGCGGCCCCCUGGACAAAGACUGACGCUCAGGUGC
rnacentral:rRNA from 1 species